rnacentral:sRNA from 1 species
CAGCGGGAGGCCAGAGGCUUCAGGUCUAU